rnacentral:lncRNA from 1 species
AGUAUUGCAAGUUGGCAAUAUUAAUUAUAGAAAACAAGAGUUAUACCUUGCAAAGUCGUAAGGGUUGUAAAGUUGUUUUGCUAUAAUUAAGGGAGAGAAUAUUAUGCUUCAUUUCAAAUCUAAAGGCUUAGGUUGAGAAAUGUUAAUAAAUUUAGUCAAAGGUACAUAGUGUGUUCUUAAAAUUUCGAUUAUGAUUACGGCAUUCCUCUUCACAAUUCGAAUUUUGAGAACAUAGCAAAUAAAACAUUAUGCGUCGUGUCCCAUACGCUUCGGGUAUAGGAUCGAUUGCAAAUGCUUUAAUGUUUGACCAUUCUAAAAUUUUCCAAAUGUCGAGCGCAUUUAGAGGGAAAAGGGACUAGAAUUGGUUUUGACUAAAAUAAUUAAACAACUAUCAAAGGACAAUCCAAAGUUCGACGAGGAUUGGUCGCUUGUGAGUAGUUGGAAGCAUGGUAUUGGAUGGACCAUAUCGACAUUAUUAUGAAUAGAAAAGAUUCUAUUAAGAAUGAGUUGUCAUAUGGAAAUUAUGGAAAUGUUUCCAUAUUGGAUGGACCAUAUCGACAUCAUUACGAAUAGAUAAGAUUCUAUUAAGAAUGAGUUGUCAUAUGGAAAAUAUGGAAGCGUGUCCAUAUUGGGAAUUGAAUAUUGAAAAUCUAUGUCUAGAUUAGAAACUUUUAUGCAAAAGGAUGUUCAAAGGAAUGUACUUUGAGUGAGAGACAUCAUAUCUAAGGAAUUGUCUUGUAACAAUCUCCGAUAGAGGACUUUGUAAUAUCAUUGGCAAUAGUCUUUGUGACUUUGGUGCAGUGACAUUACGAAAGGAUAAUUGCAUAGAAUGUUAGAAUCUAGCAUAUUCUAUAAGUAACAAGAAUUUGAUAUUCUUUAACUUAUGAAAAACGGAUUUGGAGUUGUGAAAUGAGAAGGAUUGGAAAUGUGUUCAAUGUGAUCUAUUUCACAAAGUAAGAACCAUAGGUAAACAUUGUGUGCAUGCUAGGAGCAUGGGACAAGUGUUGUAAUUCAAGUAAGAAGUUGAUUACCCGAAACGACAAAUAAUGAGUAAUCAAUAUGGUGAUAAAUAAAAGGUGUUUUAUUUAUACUCAAAGGUUUGAGGCCAUAUGGGAUUAGUAUUAUUCUUGUGUUUCACAUUUGCAUGUUUUGACUUCCAGAAUAAUUGAGUUUAUUAAGAAUAAUCGAAUUAUUCAAACGGGCCACAGUCGUUCAUAUGUUGGAAGUAGAUAUGAAUGAAGACUGUCGUGAAUUGGUGUGUGGAUUGUCUAAAAGAGUAUUAGACAUAAGCAAAUGUUUGCUGCAACGUUCAUGAGUGCUUAUGAAUAUGAUUUGAGCAUUGGAUUAAACCCACGCUCACUUGGAUCACUCCAUGAAUUGUAUCACGAGUGAUUGGUGAGACGAUAACAUCUUAUAUUCUUGAAACCGAGAUGUGUGAGUUGUAUCUUGCAAAUCGGUUGCACAUUGAUAAUAUGUAAACGCACUAGUAACUUGGUGUUAUAAAACAUAUUGUUGUGUGUGAUUCGGUGAGUGAGUGCAAGCAAGCAUUGUAUCAAAGUUUAUCCGUUCCUUUUAUCCAAAGUAGGAUAAAAGCGAUAUCUUUGGGCCCCUCGAUGGUUUAGUGAUGACAAACGUAAAUGCUCGGCCGGGCUAGGGCUAAUUUGAUUUGUUCAAUUAGUCAGUCGUCAUAAAUCGGAAAUCGAGAUAUAGUACAAAGAGAAUGAUUUGAAAUCAUAUCUCAUAUGAUAUCUAGAAUGGAGGAAUAUAUGAUCCCUUAUCUAAGGACACGCGUAUCUGAUAUGAUCAGAGUUGACAGCGGCUUUGGAAAGCUACGAUUGCAGAUCGGGAUCCGAAGUCAUACGCAGAAUAGUUGUUAGACUUAUCCAAGUGGGAGACUGUUGGAUUAGUGUCUAAGUCCAUAACUAUUUUGGUAUGUACUUGACCCGAUGGUGCAUGGUCCUUUUGGGUUGCCUUCACCAAAGCAACUUGAUUGGAGAAAUAAAUAGAGAGAGAGGUUAUUAUGAUUUAUUAAUAUGUUAUAAGAAUAAUAUAUUAAAGGAGAAAUCAUAUUUGUUUAAUUAAUAUUGGUCAAUAAUUAAUUAAGAAUUAAUUUUGUGAUCAAGUGUAAUUAAUUAAACUAGAGGGGCUGAAUUGUAAUUAUGUGAUAGUUACAAAAUAAGGUAAGGAUUAUCUUAUAUAUAUGGUGAACGAAUUUGAGGUGUAAAUCCCUUAGAAUUCGACUAGGAUAAGGAUUUCUAGGACUUAUCUUAUGGUUGCUUGGUGGACAAGCAACUAGAUAAGGAUAAGGACUAAAACCCUAAUCUUUACACCUAUAUAAACCCCCUAAGGCUUAGGAAUUCGUCUAACCCUUCCCAAGAGGUCCUAAGGACGAAUUCUAACCUCCCUCCUCUCUCUUUAUACCUUCUCCACUUGCUUAUGGUGUUUGUAAGCCAUUAGAGGAGUGACACUUGUGACUCUCAGCUUUCCAAGGUCAAUUCAAGGAGGAAUUGGAUUGUUAUUGCUAUAUAACAAUCAAGGUAUGUUCUUAAACCUAAUUACAUGUGAAUUCUGAUUUCCAUAUGCUAGAAUUAGGGUUCAAAGUCUUGGAUUCAAAGUAUGUACAAUAGAGAAACCUAGAUCCAAGCUUUAGGGUUUGUAUGAGCACAUAGGAUGUCUUAUGACCAAAACCCAUCAGUGGUAUCAGAGCCAUGAUUGGUUUCUAUUGUAUUGAUGCUUGAUGUAACUGAAAAUCGUGUUUUGGCCUCACUGUUCGACCUGACUCGGCGAGUCAGUCUUGGACUCGGCGAGUCAGCCCUACUCGGCGAGUUCCAGAGGGUGACUCGGCGAGUCGGUGCGUCAGACAGUGCUUAUCUCGGGAUUUCUUGCUGUUUUUGCAUUGGGAUAAUUACCUUAUCAUGUUAGAUUAAUAUUAAUCCGAUUAUAUGAUAUAUUUGACUAUAUUUUUAAUCUAAUUGAAGAUAUUUAUCAAUUAAUAGGAUAAUUGUUUCCUUAUAAGAUAAUUGAUUAAUUAUUUUGAGUAAAUUGAUAAAUUAUUUUGCAAGAAAUCAUCAAAUAUGGAUAAUUAUGUGAUUAAAUGUUAAUUUGAAUUAUUUGUUAUUUGAUCCUUGUUGUUGUGAAAAGUUUCAUAUUUGGCCCUUUAGGUUUUAUAGUUUAAAUUUGAACCCCAAAAGUUUUGUUGUUUUGAAAUUUAAAUAGUUGAAACCCUAAUGUUUUGAAAAAGGUUUCAAAACUUGCCCUCAAGUUUUGGAAUUUAAAUUUUGAUUAAAUAGUUUAAUUUUGAUGCAUAUUUAAAUUCUAAACCCUAAUGUGUUGAAAUGUUUCAAAACUUGCCCUCAAGUUUUGGAAUUUAAAAGUUGAUUAAAAGUUUAAUUAGGAAUGUUAAAUUCUAAAACUCUAGUAUAGUUUUGAAAAAGUUCAAAUCACACCCUUAUGGUUUUAUUAAUUAAUUAAGGUGUAUAAUUAAAGGAGGUUUAAUAAAUCCAUAAAAGUUUAGGUUUACAAUUUAAUUGAAUUAAAAGUAUAAUUGUUAAAUUAGACCACCUAGUAUUUUAAAAGUAUAAAAUACACCCUAUACUAUAUAUAACAUUAAAAGUCUAACAUUAUAUAUAUGUAUGAGUAAAAGUCAGUCUUACCGUUAGUAGGCCUCAUUCACGAAGCUGGUCUAUAAGGGGUGUUUAAGGAAAUUGCCUAUAAAAUGGCGAUUGAAUGGGUAUCCACUCUUACCCACCGCACUCUUGACUAGUGGAGGGUCGUUAGCCGAACGGGUAGGAUAGGACGAAACCUUCCAUUAUAAGUAUAAUGAAUUAUUAAAGUAACUAAAUGUUUUCAUAAAAUUCCCAAUCUUAGUUACUUAGGCAAAAGUGAAUUGAUGCAAUUCCAUGAAAUUACACUUUGUGCCCUUGCGAAGACGUUAGUGGAGCGUGUGUGGUUUACCGGCACACUAAAUGGUUCUAAGCAAAGGUAGCAAAGGGUGACUCAAUGUUUGUCAUAGUUCGGUGGAGCGUGUGUGGUUUACCGGCACAUCGAAUAGGUGACUGUAACAUGUGAGGGCACCAUGUAAGUUUGCAUGGUUAUUCACACCCGCUUUGUGAUCCUCGGCAUCCCAGUCACAAACAAGAGGGGCAUAUCGAGAUUUAAACAUGCCAUUGAAAGUUCAAUGAAUCUCAAAGGAUCUAGGAGUUUUCAUAGAUUUAAAACUUAAAUUUCUUUUUCGUUUUUCAUGGUGGAAAUUAGUGAAUCGUCAUUCACUUACCUUCAAAUAUUCUGCAAUUAGGGUUACGGCAUCCCUCUCCCGAGUUGUAGAAUAUUGUGUUGGGUCCUAGCCUUAGUAUCUCAUUUGGGUGAUUUACUAAGGACUCAAUCAAUCAACUAACUUGAAUUCGUUUUCUCCCGUUUUGUAGAUGUCAAAGUUCGACAACUAUGGUCUUCCCAAAUCCCGUGGAACAAGCAUUCCACAUGAAGAUGAUAUUCCACGAUUCGAUCGAGGAACAAGAAAUCAUGCUUCACUUCCUCCUCCUCCUCCAAUUAUUCUCCCUAACCCACAAGUUCAAAGGCUUGAAAAGUUCAAGAUCACUCAAGCCCUUUUGGCAAGUAAACAUAAAGAAGGAAAGUCGGUGUGUGCACACGUCCUAGGGAUGAAGUCACACAUUGAUAGGUUAAGAAUGUUGGGAUCCGUUGUCUGUGAGGAAAUGGCUGUUGAUUGGGUUCUUCAGUCACUUCCUAACUCAUAUAGUGAGUUCGUAAGAGAGUACUAUAUGAUGAACCGCGACGUGACCCUUAUAGAUCUCACCUAUAUGCUUAUUGCUGCUGAAUCAGCAAUGGUUUGGCGCAAUAGAAAAGCAAAGUUGAUUGGUGAAUCUGCCUUCAAGACCUCUAUGGAUAUAGACAAUGGCAACGAAAGACAUGCUAUGAUCGAAAAGUUUGAUCAUAAGAGAAAGGCAAUGUCUGAAGUAGUUCCAUGUCAUGUUCCAAAAGAGUCAAUUUGCUUUUAUUGCCAAGAGAAAGGGCAUUGGAGACGAAGCUGCCCCAUUUACCUAAGAGAUCUAAGAGAUGGGAGAGUCGAAACGUAUGGCUCUAAUAUAGGUAAAAUCCAUUAACUAACUCUUUUAAGCUUCUAUUCUAGAUUCUUAAUACAUAAUGUGAUAAGAUUACAAUUGAUGUUUUGUAGGAUCGAAGAAAAGAAAGGAAGCUUAAGGGAAGAAGUGAGCAGAAUCUAACCGUGAAGGAAUGGAUUUCGAUCGCAUUUCUCGAAGAUUAGAUUCUUGAGCUACUACUUAGAGUUAGAAUUAGAUUGCUAAGAAAGAUGUAUUAGCAUAGUUUUUCAAUGAAUUGCAUUGUAAGGACAAAUUUUUUCCGCAAUAAAAUAAAUUUUGAUUUUAUAUUAUUUAUUUAUCCUUGCAAUGGCGUAUAUGAAAAAUUGAUGUUUGAAUGUUUCUAUUAUUAGCAAUAAUGGAUUUGGUUCUUAUUAUGUUAUUUAUGGAAAGUCGAGAAUUUACCAAAUAGGGAGAGUUUCUCAUCGCCCAAGUUUCAAUUGGACAGAAACUUGGAAUCAUGCAACUUGGUUGCACGAUGAAUGAGAAAUUUCAUAUUUGGAAAUUAGACUAAUUCAUUGACAAAGUGUCAAGUGAAGGACUAGGAGAUCGAGUACACAAAGUUGCGUGUUGAUCAAGUCCACCAUAAGAGUAACAAAGAUAUUCGUCAUGAUUUACUAAAGGUUUAGUAAAUAUGAUUAUACUUACAAGAUUAAGUGUAAUUCUAAAUUGAUUGAAAAAGUUUAAAUCAAUAGCAGAACGAAUAAGAAGAAUCAAGUAGGCAGAAAGAUAAAAGUUUCUCCAUUCUAAGAAGAAGGGAGAGUACCUUUUAUGCUUUAUGAUAGGUCUUAAUGAUUAAGAACCAUAUCUCAAUUGAUCCUCUAAGUGAGUCUUAGUACAAUUGUAUGUCUAAGAAGAGGAAUCAAGAAUUGAAGAAAUGGUUAAAUCAAGAAGUCAAUCAUACUUCGUUCCAAAACAAGUCUUAGAGUUAAGAUUGUGACAUUGAGUGAAAAGUAUUAAGAAGGUUUAUAACAUUCAUCAAAUGUGGAAAGUUGUGAUGUCUUGGAUAAGACAAAGACCAACUAGGACCAAUUUAUGAAGUGUUUUGAUAAAAGCUACACUAACUCUUGAAUAUUUGUUUGUCAAGAAAUGUUUAUUGACAAGAGAAUCUUAUAUGUCAAGGAGUCAGUGGGAGUCUUAAUGGUCUUGAAAGGUUUCAAGAACAAAUCAAAUAAACCUUAUCGAUCAUCACUAGCACACGAGUUGAGGUUUACAACCUAUCGUGUUGACAUUAUUUUGUUUCUGUGCCAAUCCAAUCGAGUUAAUUAUGCAUGUGAGUUCUAUGAGUUCUCAUUUGAAUGCAUAAAAGGCAAGGACCUUGAUCAAUGGAAAGUACAUUGAUAGGAAAGGGUGAACUGCUCAACUACUUGGAAAACAUGGUGGGCAGCUAUGUUACCAUAAGGCAAGAAGUCAAGAUUAAGAAAGUUCGGUCCAUAUGAGUUUGAAUUUGUCNGUCAUAAACUUUGGUUUUGACAAAUUCACAUGGAUAGGAACACAUACACCAUUAAAAUCUAAGUGUCAUAAGAUUCCCUCCUUCAUGAAAAUGAUUGUGAGGAAAUGCUUUCACUAAGAGAGAUUUUAAAAAGGAUAAUGAUUGUGAAAAUUGUAUUCUCGAAUUCGAUUAUGGUUACGGUAUCCCUUUCCAUGAUUUGAAUUGUGAGGUUUGACAAUUAGUCUGAAUUGUUUAGACGCACAUAUGAGCUAUCUAAGAAAAGGGUGUAUAAGUUAAAGAAGCCUUGAUAAAAGAUUAUCAAAGCAUUAAGUAUUAGAAACAUGGACUUAAGAAAUUCAAUAGGUAUUAAUUUUCUGAAAGUUAAGAUGUUUCUGAACACAUGUCGAAGCUAGUGGGAGCAUAAAGUGUUAUGUUUUAUAAUAAUCAUCAUGAUAGUGGGAGCACAAAUGUUAUGAUUGUAUGAUUAUUAACGAAAGUAUUGCAAGUUAGCAAUAUUAAUUAUACAAAAAAAAGAGUUAUACCUUGCAAAGUCGUAAGUGUAGUAAAGAUGUUUUGCUAUAAUUAAGGGAGAGAAUAUUAUGCUUCAUUUCAAAUCUAAAGGCUUAGGUUGUGGAAUGUUAAUAAAUGUAGUCAAAGGGACAUAGUGCAUUCUUAAAAUUUCGAUUAUGAUUAUGGCAUUCCUCUUCACAAUUCGAAUUUUGAGAACAUAGCACAUAAAAUAUUAUGGCAGAAGAUUGAUAAAGUAUCAAACACUACAAGAAAAACAAUCUUUUACGACACGC